rnacentral:rRNA from 1 species
GAUGAACGCUGGCGACGUGCUUAACACAUGCAAGUCGAACGAUAAAGCCCAGCUUGCUGGGUGGAUUAGAGGCGCACGGGUGAGUCACGCGUGAGUAACCUGCCCUUCAUUCUGGGAUAAGCCUUGGUAACUGGGUCUAUUACCGGAUAGGAUCGUCCACCGAAUGGAGGGAUUUGGACAGAUUUAUCGGUUUUGGAUGGACUCGCGGCCUAGCAGCUUGUUGGUGAGGUAAGGGGUCAACAAGGCGCCGGCGGGUAGCCGGCCUGAGAGGGUGACCGGCCCCAACGGGACUGGGACACGGCCCAGAAUCCUACGGGAGGGAGCAGUGGGGAAUAUUGCAACAUGGGCGCAAGCCUGUGGCAGCGACGUCCCGUGAGGGAUGACGGCCUUCUGGUUGUAAACCGCUUUCAGUAUGGAAGAAGAGAAAGUGACGGUACCUGCAGAAGAAGCACCGGCUAACUACGUG